rnacentral:rRNA from 1 species
UAGUCCACGCCGUAAACGAUGUCGACUAGCCGUUGGGGGCACUUUGGCCCCUAGUGGCGUAGCUAACGCGAUAAGUAGACCGCCUGGGGAGUACGGCCGCAAGGUUAAAACUCAAAUGAAUUGACGGGGGCCCGCACAAGCGGUGGAGCAUGUGGUUUAAUUCGAUGCAACGCGAAGAACCUUACCAGGCCUUGACAUCCUGCGAACUUUCUAGAGAUAGAUUGGUGCCUUCGGGAGCGCAGUGACAGGUGCUGCAUGGCCGUCGUCAGCUCGUGUCGUGAGAUGUUGGGUUAAGUCCCGUAACGAGCGCAACCCUUGUCCUUAGUUGCCAGCACGUAAUGGUGGGAACUCUAGGGAGACUGCCGGUGACAAACCGGAGGAAGGUGGGGACGACGUCAGGUCAUCAUGGCCCUUACGGCCUGGGCUACACACGUGCUACAAUGGACGGUACAGAGGGCCGCGAAGUCGCGAGGCCAAGCAAAUCCCUUAAAACCGUUCGUAGUCCGGAUUGGAGUCUGCAACUCGACU